ACCUAACAUAAUCGCAACCACCCUCACCAGCAGCCCCUACCUUCAUUGUCUAAUUAAGGUAACGCAUGAGUUGGAGGGCUUGUGCUGUCACAGUAACAGUAACUUCUAGAUCUACUCAUCCUGUUUCCUGAAAUGGCAGACCCUGCCAAAAACUACUGUAUGUACAGAGGGGACACAGAUAUCCUGUUGUUUGCUUUGCACCGCAGUUGAAAUAUCGGCAGCAAUCUUGUAUUGUGUGUGUGAUUCCUCUGAAUUGCUGUGAUCUUUACUGGUGUUAUCAAGACUGACAGUUGCAGUAAGAACAGGACAGAGUCUUGGCUUCUGAAAGUGAUGGUCGCUUACACAGCGUGGAUUUUCCUGUUUGUAAUUUGGGUUUUCGUAUUCACUGCUCACGGAAAAACAAUACUGGGGGAAGCAAAAUAGGGAGUUUAAAAACAGGUGAGGGAUGGAGGCAACAAAGAAGAAAGAAGACGCUCAGUGCAGCCAAUGUGAUUGUCACCGCUGUCUCAGUAAUCCUCGUCAUUGGAAACAUGUCCUUCGCUGCAGCUGUCAUUGCUGGGAUAUUUGGGUGUCUGGAAAAAUAGGCCUGUUCUGGUACUUUGCUUGCAUGUGAUUCACAGUUUUGUACAUAUGAUACCAGUACAACCUAACAGUUAGACUAAACAAACUGGAUAGUGUUAUUAACAUAUUACAUACCAUAAAAUGGGUUGUUCAUUUUCCAAGGAAGUUUAAUUGUUAGGUCAUAUAACAUCUUAUGAGAGUUAAGCCUGUCAACAAGGUGAAACUGCAAAUAUUUGCUAAAGAUCCACUUGCCUAUAAUUACUGUAUGUAUCACCUUGUGCCAGACAUACCAGUUGUCAUCAUCAGUUGGGGAAUGUUUUUAAUGUUGUGAUCUUGUCCUCAUGAGUAAUGUGUGGAAUGUGCUUAUCUUAUAAAAAACAAGCCUUGCUAUACUUCAUAUAGACUAGCUGAAGUAUUGAAUUCAUAAACAUAGAUGUUAUAAAAUGUGGAGAUCUCACUCAUGACAUAAAUGUCCCCUUGUGUUUUAGGGCUAAAGGAAGGCCAAUGAGAUAAAACUUCAGCACAUAAAUGGGUCAUAAAAUGUGUCAGUCUGCUGACCUCAUGACUCAGCCUGUUAUUGCUUAUGCCAGGAGUAUCUGAGGUCAUGGAAAUGCUCAGAGUUCAGUGUGUAAGGAUGAAAAUAAUGUGUCAUAGUGAUCGAUAUGAAUUGAGAGAGAUAAUUAACUUCAUUUUGAAAAGAUAUCAAGUUUUACCAUAAGUUGUCUGAAUAUAAUUAUAUCAGAAUGUGUCCAGUACUAUAAACAGCUUUUUUAUGUAAGUGCAUGAUGCCAUUCAACUUAAUUGAAAUUCAUUGUCUAUUUUUGCUUUCAACAUACAAAGUUUCAAUACAAGGACUCACCAUAUAUGACCUUACUUGCAAAUCUACACAGUAAAACCAAUCUGUGUUUUGUGUUACAAUGUUUUGAGUACAAAAAGAGAAAUUCCCAAGUACAAGUCAAACCCAUGUGAAUCGUUGAACCUGAAUUAUGUGUAAAUUACAGUUAUGUAAACCAGUAUUAAUAUAUUUUACAUUCAAACAUUUGGACAUUUUAAAAUCUAGUUAUGUUAGUGUCACCAGCAAGUUGUGAUUUAUAAAUGAUGAUUCAUUUUUAUGGUCUUUUUGAAGGAAGCAAACUUCAGCUGUGUCCAUGUUCAGUUAAUAAACCUUCUACUACUGA